AGGAGUGGUAAUGAGGGGCUCGCCGCGCAGCUCACAUGCGCGCUGGGGUGACUCUGCCGCGAGGAACGGUGUCUCUCUUUCUCUCUCUCACUUUCGCAAUCUCGCUCUGGCAAGACGUUACUGGAGAUUAGCGAGACAAGCGCAAAAGAGUCCACUCGUAGCGAGGACCAUGCCGCAGCGGCGAUGCAUCCGGCAUUCAUUGCCCUGGUUGAUUAGCAGGAAUGGAUAGCCCUCGUGGGGGGGGGGGUUCACCAUCUCAUUAUUUUGGGGUGAUUCACUUCUUUUACUGGGAUCAAAAGCUUCCGACCGCAUCAUGGAGCAUGAUGUGAUGUGUUUCUUUUGGAUCGACUGAUAUCCACGGCCUCCGCACCCCACUUUGGCUCAAGCUAACAUUCUACGUAUUUUUUCACAUGAAUCAUAUGGAGCGGUCAUCCUACCCGUUUCGUACAAUGAUUCGCGGUUGGGACCGUGGAAUUACACGCUUUCCUAAUUUCCAGCGCAUCGACAUAUCCAUUUAGAAUGAAAGCAUGGUGCAGAAGAGUGAGUGUUAAAAUAGAGAAUCGCUUUCUGGGGGUUGGGGAAAGGUGUGCAUUUGCUCCCUGCUUGUCGUUCGAAUGCUGCGUGGGUCCGCGAGGCUGCAACAGUCUAACCCGGUUUGAUUACGGUUCGAUACAAGGCUGCAGUGAUUAAAGGCCAUGCGUACGAAAUCCUGCUGACACAGAUUUGUUUAUGAAACAUUCACCAAGCAAGGUCGGUAGUGGGAGCCCAUAUUGCGAAUAUCAAGCUGCAAAGGCAAAGUGCGUCAUUGUUGGAGAAAAAAAUGGAGUGAAAGUCCUUGGUUAUGUGCGAUUUUUGAAAAUUGACAGAUACCAGAUAAUUAGUGGACGAGGAUUAUGUUAGUGGCCAAUUCACUCUUAGUUCUAUGUCGUAUGUACAAAGUCAGCUGAAUUAACAUACCGUGAUCUAAGUGGUCACCCACAAAAAGUGCUGUUGCCUGUGCGAUGCUACUUGAAAACCCAUGUCAAGGAGAGUUGGAAAGUAAUGAAUGAAAUUUUUGCUGGCUGUAGUAACCUGGUGAACCCUCACCGGCACAAGUAAAUAA